rnacentral:snoRNA from 1 species
UAAACCAGUGAUGACAGAACGUUGUAAACCAAGAACGAUAAUUCCAAUUCUGUGUACCCAAGGUCCAUU